rnacentral:rRNA from 1 species
UACGAAGGGUGCAAGCGUUACUCGGAAUUACUGGGCGUAAAGGGCGCGUAGGCGGCCUUCUAAGUCGAACGUGAAAUCCCCGGGCUCAACCCGGGAACUGCGUCCGAUACUGGAAGGCUUGAAUCCGGGAGAGGGAUGCGGAAUUCCGAGGUGUAGCGGUGAAAUGCGGUAGAUAUCUGGAGGAACACCGGUGGCGAAGGACGGUUCUCUGGGACGGUGACUGACGCUGAGACGCGAAAGCGUGGGGAGCGAACAGG